rnacentral:lncRNA from 1 species
UGCAUGGUGUCUGAUAAAUACAAUGUGUGCCCCAUAUUUUAAGGUUAUGGGCUAUUCUGGAGAUCCAUUCAUUGUUUAGCCAGCUCUUAUCAUUCACCUUGGGAGUAUGUUUGUAUUCACUUGGAGAGUCAGGGGAAUAGCCAGUAAUGUAGCACUUCUGUUGUUAGUAAUUACAAUGUAACGAUCUAGUGGUACUUGGCUCUUAGAAGAGGUCACAGUUAGAUUUCUUUCCACCUAAUGAAAUAGACUGCCAGUUACCUACUUUCAUGCUACUGCAAAUGGUUCAGUACACGUACUCUACAUUGGCUAUGACUGUGUGAUAUAAUGGCGGUGCCUAGGUUUCUCUCUGUAAAUGAAUCCCUUUGCCAAACACAGUUCAGACUCGCUCACUACUGACAGUAGUAGAACCGGAAUGAGUGAAGUUUUCCCAGCUUGAGAGCAUGUCUUGCAGAUUAGUGGAUUAGUGCAGCAGUAUGGGAAGCAGGAGGUGCAGACCAGUGUCUCCUGACCAGACUGUAUGCCACUUCUGGGCAACAGUGUUGGCAUGAUCUGAGCCAGCCAGGAGGAGGGUGGGUGAUUAGAAGCUUGAGAUUCUUAGUUAUACUGAAGGCUUAAUUUGGGCACCAGAAAACCUUAACAAGUAAUCUCACACCUUGAGUCACAAUCUUCCCUUAAUGUAUGCUUUACCCCAGCUUCACACACAUAGACAAAUUCUGUUCGGGGUUCUGGUUUAAGAAGUGAACAGAGACGUAUGACGAGGUUUGUUUAAUGGCAUACUGUACUGGAAUGCUGAAGACCUGCAGCAGAUGUAAAUUCCAAGUCUUGUUAUAAUUUUUUAAGAUUGUGAAAUCAAAAUGCAUAUGAAUCAAGUUUUAAUACACUGUCUGGGUGGAUGAGGCUGUCCAUUGCACCAUUUCUUUCUUUGGGUUCUCAGGCAUGGUUCCGACAGUGUACGAACUCUGUAACAUUAACAUUGAAUAGACAGUCAACCUACAAAAAAAAAAAUCUGCAA